GACGAACGCUGGCGGCGUGCUUAACACAUGCAAGUCGAACGGAAAGGCCCUGCUUUUGUGGGGUGCUCGAGUGGCGAACGGGUGAGUAACACGUGAGUAACCUGCCCUUGACUUUGGGAUAACUUCAGGAAACUGGGGCUAAUACCGGAUAGGAUCUCCUGCUGCAUGGUGGGGGUUGGAAAGUUUCGGCGGUUGGGGCUGGACUCGCGGCUUAUCAGCUUGUUGGUGGGGUAGUGGCUUACCAAGGCUUUGACGGGUAGCCGGCCUGAGAGGGUGACCGGCCACAUGGGGACUGAGAGACGGCCCAGACUCCUACGGGAGGCAGCAGUGGGGAAUAUGGCACAGUGGGCGGAAGCGUGAGGCAGCAACGCCGCGUGCGGGAUGACGGCCUUCGGGUUGUAAACCGCUUUAGCCUGUGACGAAGCGUGAGUGACGGUAAUGGGUAAAGAAGCACCGGCUAACUACGUG
rnacentral:rRNA from 1 species